UUAUUAUCCAUAAUUAACUCUGACCAAGAGC
rnacentral:piRNA from 1 species